rnacentral:rRNA from 1 species
AAAAUCAAACCCAAAGAAUUUGGCGGUCUUUAAACCAAAUAAGAGGAAUUUGCUUCAAAAACGAUGAUACACGAAAAACCCCACUAAAUUUAACAAAUUGUCUGUAUACCGCCAUCUUAAAAAUGUCUAUAGCAUUUUUCAAAAAAAUGAAUCUUAUAUGUUAGGUCAAGGUGCAACUAAUAAUUAAGUAGAAGUUAGUUACAAUCUUUUUUAAGUAUAGAGAUAAACUGAAAAUAAUUUAAAAGAGGAUUUUAAAGUAACAAAAUUUUAAUACGAUGUAGUGACUAGUGAUCUUAAAUAUGCACAUAUCGCCCGUCGCUCGCGGGAA